rfam:Firmicutes bacterium CAG:882 genomic scaffold, scf113
UUUGGAAGAAGCUUGGAUGUUCUUAGCACUCUGCCGAUAUCCCAGCCAAAUCCGGCACGGAUGCCGGAUUAGAUGCAACGCAGACACGGAAGUCUGCUUUGCAUCGAUGGCGUAUAAGAAAAACACUUUUAUCAGAGUUCUUAGAACAUCCUGCUUCGCACAGC